GCACUACUGAGGAGUCCCACAAUAGGACGAAACGGCCAUACAGUAC
rnacentral:hammerhead_ribozyme from 1 species